AUGAGGGCGACCGAGUGUGGGAAGGAAGCGUGGAGCGUAAAUCGUGAGCCGAUGAACAAGAACUGCAUAGAAGGCGCUGCCGAGCAGGGCGAGCGGGCAUAAAACCGCGAAGCUCUUGUGAUCAAGGAGCGCAGGCGUAGAUCAGGCGGUUGUGCUGUGAAGGAGUGCGUUC
rnacentral:ncRNA from 1 species